rnacentral:rRNA from 1 species
CUAAGUUUGAUGGCGACCGGCGCACGGGUGAGUAACACGUAUCCAACCUGCCGAUGACUCGGGGAUAGCCUUUCGAAAGAAAGAUUAAUACCCGAUGGCAUAGUUCUUCCGCAUGGUAGAACUAUUAAAGAAUUCGGUCAUCGAUGGGGAUGCGUUCCAUUAGGUUGUUGGCGGGGUAACGGCCCACCAAGCCUUCGAUGGAUAGGGGUUCUGGGAGGAAGGUCCCCCACAUUGGAACUGAGACACGGUCCAA